GACGAACGCUGGCGGCGUGCUUAACACAUGCAAGUCGAACGGAAAGGCCCCUUUGGGGGUACUCGAGUGGCGAACGGGUGAGUAACACGUGCGUAACCUGCCCUUGACUUCGGGAUAACUUCAGGAAACUGGGGCUAAUACCGGAUAGGAAUCCUUGCUGCAUGGUGGGGGUUGGAAAGCUUCGGCGGUUUUGGAUGGACUCGCGGCUUAUCAGCUUGUUGGUGGGGUAGUGGCUUACCAAGGCUUUGACGGGUAGCCGGCCUGAGAGGGCGACCGGCCACAGUGGGACUGAGAUACGGCCCAGACUCCUACGGGAGGCAGCAGUGGGGAAGAUUGCACAAUGGGCGGAAGCCUGAUGCAGCAACGCCGCGUGCGGGAUGACGGCCUUCGGGUUGGAAACCGCUUUCAGCAGGGGCGAAGCUUGUGGUGACGGUACCUGCAGAAGAAGCACCGGCUAACUACGUG
rnacentral:rRNA from 1 species